rnacentral:rRNA from 1 species
UGCCAGCCGCCGCGGUAAUACGGGGGGUGCAAGCGUUACUCGGAAUUAUUGGGCGUAAAGGGCGCGCAGGCGGUCUUGUCCGUCAGGUGUGAAAGCUCGGGGCUCAACCCCGGAAGUGCACUUGAAACAGCAAGACUUGAAUACGGUAGAGGAGAGAGGAAUUCCUGGUGUAGAGGUGAAAUCCGUAGAUAUCUGAAGGAACACCAGUGGCGAAGGCGGCUCUCUGGACCAACACUGACGCUGAGGUGCGAAAGCGUGGGUAGCAAACAGGAUUAGAUA